rnacentral:lncRNA from 1 species
AUAAAUUGUUCCACAAGCAGAUGGAGUAGCAAGGUUUGAUAGCAAUCUCCAUUAAAGAAGUGCAGGAGCAUGCACAUAUGAUAAGGCUCAGCACUAGAGUAAGCUGCCGUGAUGAUUCCUGUUGCCAAUACUACACUGAUAUGUGCGAUCAGCGACAGAUGACACAUGAUAUGGAGUCAACUCCUCUGCACGGUUGCAACAGCAAGUACAGCUCAUCUCCUCUCACUGCUCUGCAUUGCUUGCUCACCGAUCUUGUGGCUGGAUCUGGCAUUAAACUGACCUUGCACGCUCGUGCAGAUGAGUUUGUCUCCAGUUUCUGACAAGUGAGGCAUGACAGCUAGCUUACUGAAAGCUCAAUUAGAGUAGAGGUAUAGAUGCUUCAUCCAUCGAGCAAAGCAUACAAAGAUUAAAGAAACAGAAACCUGUCGUGGAGAUGGUGGCUUCUGGUGCAGCACAAGGCUUCAAAUUAUCAGUGAGAUUCUUUCUGUCUGCUUGUCCAAUUAUGAGAUCGCCUCUCCUUCAUUAUAUAUACAGAGAAGCCAUGGUUGGGUGUUGACAACAUGCAAAUCAGUCUGUCUAAUCUCCUCUUCCAUUUCCAGAGAGAAACCAGGCAUCACCUUCCAUCCCAACCAUGGCAUUCCAUCUCAGAUCUGCAAGUGUGCCAUCCAGCCCUCGCUCUGGCGAAAUAGAUAUUGAAGAACAGUUGCAGAGCCUCAAGACCAUUUCUUCACCCUCUGCAACCAUGGAAACAAUGAGCAAUGGUUUCAGGAGGGUUACAGAUGUGUACAACAGCAUGGAUGAGAUUAUAUGCUUGCCCAGCAGUCACGCUAACCUUUGCCAGCAUCAGCAUAGGAGAGCAGUGGAGCAAGAACUGGAGCAGUCUCUCACCUUGCUUGACCUCUGCACUGCCAUGCAAGAGAGCUUCUCUGAGAUCAAGGUGAGCACCCAGGAUAUGCAAUUGGCCAUCAAGAGAGGUGACGAUGCAGCAGUUCAGUCCAAGGUUCAGUCUUACUCCCGCCAGACCAAGAAGAUGCAGAAACAGUUUAAGAAAAUCAGCAAUAAGGCUGCUUAUUCAGCUCAUCAGGAUAGCUGCAGGGUGGUCAAGCUGCUGGCUGAUGCCAGACAGACUGCUCUCUCAGUGCUUGAAUCAACUUUGCAUUUCCUGUCAAAGCAGAUUGCAGUGCCAAAUUCCAGCAAGUGGUCACUUGUCUCCAAGGCCUUCCAGAAGACAAAGGUUACAUGCCAGGAGGAGCAAUUACAGGCAUUGGAGUUGGAAAUUGCUGAUCUUGAGAACGAAGUUGAGACUUUGUUCAGGAGAUUGAUCCAGAGCAGAGUUUCUCUUUUGAAUGCUCUUGCUUGUAGAUAGAUCAUGCACUGCCUCUGAUCCCCUGUGACUGGCAUCUGCCUUUUAGAGGAUUUGCUGAUCAUUGGAACAGUUUUGUUAUGUGUACAUAAAUGAGAGGAAAUGUACAGAAAUUCACAAGAUUGAAACAAAGAAUCUUCCUUUUAUCUAAUUUCACUGUCUUAUUUCUUUUGCCCCUUACUACCACAGAUAAUUGAACAAUCACCUGACAUUUGAGUGCUUCAGCUGAAGCUUGUUCAUGAAGGGAAAAGACAAUUUGAUAAGAAUUUUCUUCAUCGAUCUUGGCUGUUAUAAUAUAGAUAUCAGUACAGUUCAAAUAUUAGAUUUGGUAAGCUUUACCGUUCAAUGGCCAUGUCAUUAGUAUUCAGAUAAGACGUGCCUCAAGAAACAGGCACAAGAUCCUUCUGCAGUGGAUCUUGCCUUCCAUAUAGCACCAUAACAGAUUGCCAGCUCGUGUGGUUGUUGAUAAAUUAUUCUGCAAUCAGGAGUAGCAGCAGUUGCAACAGAACUACUCUAUAGUGAUCUCCAUGCAUGACAAAGGCUCAGCACUAGAGUAAGCUGCCAUGCUGAUUCCUGCUGCAAUAACUGGAACAUGACAGUGUGAUUCAUUUUGGCCUCACCAGAAAUUUGGACAGCACAUGGAAUCAUCUUGAGAUUGCCACAGAUGCUAAAUGCUGUUAGCAAAGCAGGCAAGCCAGUGAUGUGAUGUUCCAAGAUGAGUGAGAAUAUUCUACAUAAGAAACACAGUUUGGAGCCUGGAGAGGAAGUCAACUGCUGCUCCUGCGAGCAAGGCUCAUCCUUCUCAUGAUCCAGAUCUGGAUCAUACAUAAGACUACACAGUCGUGCAAGUGAAUUUGCCACCAAUAAUCAGGACAUGACAGCAUCAUAAGCUGAGCUAGAGAUACCUCUAGGCUUGGUUGUGAAACAUAAAAAAACAUCAGCAUGUCGAGAUGGGUGGCAUCUGUUGCAGCAAAGCACUUCUUUAUUAUUGAGAUUCCAUUGUUGUCUACACAAUGAGAGAUGCCAUUGCUUCUGCCUCUUUGGUUAUAUAUAGAGGAAAGCUAUAGCCGGGUCAACACCAUUGCAGCAAAGCAUUCUUCUCAUCUCCACUUCCGCAGAGAAGAGAAAAAGGAGAAAGAUAGCUUCCACUGCAGCCAUGGCAUUCCACCUCAGAUCUGCAAGUGUGCCAUCCAGCCCU